rnacentral:rRNA from 1 species
GGAGUCUGGGCCGUGUCUCAGUCCCAAUGUGGCCGUCCGGCCUCUCAGCCCGGCUACUGAUCGUCGCUUUGGUGGGCCGUUACCCCGCCAACUGGCUAAUCAGACGCGGGCCCAUCCCGUACCACCGGAGUUUUUCACACUGCACGAUGCCGUGCUGUGCGCUUAUGCGGUAUUACCGGCCGUUUCCAGCCGCUAUCCCCCGGUACGGGGCAGGUUGCCCACGCGUUACUCACCCGUUCGCCACUAAGUUUAGACAAGAUUUGACCGAAGUCUCGUCAGCGUCUAAACCCCGUUCGACUUGCAUGUGUUAGGCACGCCGCCAGCGUUCAUC